rnacentral:rRNA from 1 species
CCUACGGGAGGCAGCAGUGGGGAAUAUUGGGCAAUGGGCGCAAGCCUGACCCAGCAACGCCGCGUGAAGGAAGAAGGCUUUCGGGUUGUAAACUUCUUUUAAGAGGGAAGAGCAGAAGACGGUACCUCUUGAAUAAGUCACGGCUAACUACGUGCCAGCAGCCGCGGUAAUAGGUAGGUGGCAAGCGUUGUCCGGAUUUACUGGGGGUAAAGGGCGUGUAGCCGGGCUGAAAAGUCAGAGGUGAAAUUCCGGGGCUCAAACCGGGACCUGCAUUUGAAACUGCUGGUCUUGAGUAUCGGAGAGGCAGGCGGAAUUCCUAGUGUAGCGGUGAAAUGCGUAGAUAUUAGGAGGAACACCAGUGGCGAAGGCGGCCUGCUGGACGACUACUGACGGUGAGGCGCGAAAGCGUGGGGAGCAAAUAGGAUUAGAUACCCUUGUAGUC